rnacentral:rRNA from 1 species
GCGAACGCUGGCGGCAGGCUUAACACAUGCAAGUCGAGCGGGCACUUUCGGGUGUCAGCGGCGGACGGGUGAGUAACGCGUGGGAACGUGCCCUCUGGUUCGGAAUAACUCAGGGAAACUUGAGCUAAUACCGGAUACGCCCUUUUGGGGAAAGGCUUGCCGCCGGAGGAUCGGCCCGCGUCUGAUUAGCUAGUUGGUGAGGUAACGGCUCACCAAGGCGACGAUCAGUAGCUGGUCUGAGAGGAUGAUCAGCCACACUGGGACUGAGACACGGCCCAGACUCCUACGGGAGGCAGCAGUGGGGAAUAUUGGACAAUGGGCGCAAGCCUGAUCCAGCCAUGCCGCGUGAGUGAUGAAGGCCUUAGGGUCGUAAAGCUCUUUUAUCCGGGACGAUAAUGACGGUACCGGAGGAAUAAGCCCCGGCUAACUUCGUG